rnacentral:rRNA from 1 species
UCGAGCGAGGACUUCGGUUCUAGCGGCGGACGGGUGAGUAACGCGUGGGAACGUGCCCUUCUCUACGGAAUAGCCCUGGGAAACUGGGAGUAAUACCGUAUACGCCCUAUUGGGGAAAGAUUUAUCGGAGAAGGAUCAGCCCGCGUUGGAUUAGGUAGUUGGUGGGGUAAUGGCCUACCAAGCCGACGAUCCAUAGCUGGUUUGAGAGGAUGAUCAGCCACACUGGGACUGAGACACGGCCCAG